GACGAACGCUGGCGGCGUGCUUAACACAUGCAAGUCGAACGGAAAGGCCCUGCUUUUGUGGGGUGCUCGAGUGGCGAACGGGUGAGUAACACGUGCGUAACCUGCCCUUGACUUUGGGAUAACUUCAGGAAACUGGGGCUAAUACCCGAUAGGAGCUCCUGCUGCAUGGUGGGGGUUGGAAAGCUUCGGCGGUUGGGGUUGGGCUCGCGGCUUAUCAGCGUGUUGGUGGGGUAGUGGCUUACCAAGGCUUUGAAGGGUAGCCGGCCCGGGAGGGUGAACGGCCCCAUUGGGACUGCGAUACGGACCAGACUGCUACGGGGGGCAGCAGUGGGAAAUAUUGCACAAUGGGGGGAAGCCUAGUGCAGAAACGCCGCGUGCGGGAUGACGGCCUUCGGGUUGUAAACCGCUUUCGCCUGUGACGCAGCGUUAGUGACGGUACUGGGUAAAGAAGCACCGGCUAACUACGUG
rnacentral:rRNA from 1 species